CUCGCGCCUAAUGACAGGUCGGAAACGGCCGGGCGGCGUCCGCGCCGCAGCAGACAGAGAUCACCGCGUCUGUGGGACUUCA
rnacentral:ncRNA from 1 species